rnacentral:rRNA from 1 species
CUAAUACAUGCAGACGAACGGUAAGUUUGAUAGCAAUAUUGAACCUAGAGUGUCGUAAGGGUGCGUAACACGUAUGCAAUCUGCCCUCAACAGGAGAAUAGCUCCCCGAAAGGGGAAUUAACACUCCAUAAGAUCACAUGAUGGCAUCAUUGAGUGAUUAAAACUACGGUGGUUGAGGAUGAGCAUGCGCAUGAUUAGUUAGUUGGCGGGGUAAUGGCCCACCAAGACGAUGAUCAUUAGGGGAACUGAGAGGUUGAUCCCCCACACUGGCACUGAGAUACGGGCCAGACUCCUACGGGAGGCAGCAGUAGGGAAUAUUGGACAAUGGGUGCGAGCCUGAUCCAGCCAUGCCGCGUGCAGGAAGGCGGCCUUCUGGGUUGUAAACUGCUUUUGCCAGGGGAUAAAAAGAGCGUGCGCGCUUUAUUGAAGGUACCUGGUGAAUAAGCCACGGCUAACUACGUGCCAGCAGCCGCGGUAAUACGUAGGUGGCAAGCGUUGUCCGGAUUUAUUGGGUUUAAAGGGUGCGUAGGCGGUCAUAUAAGUCAGUGGUGAAAUACUUCAGCUCAACUGGAGAGGUGCCAUUGAUACUGUAUGACUUGAGUACAGACGAGGUAGGCGGAAUUGACGGUGUAGCGGUGAAAUGCUUAGAUAUCGUCAAGAACACCGAUAGCGAAGGCAGCUUACUAGACUGUAACUGACGCUGAUGCACGAAAGUGUGGGGGUCAAACAGGAUUAGAUACCCUGGUAGUCCACACUGUAAACGAUGAUUACUCGAUGUUGGCGAUACACAGCCAGCGUCUUAGCGAAAGCGAUAAGUAAUCCACCUGGGGGAGUACGCCCGCAAGGGUGAAACUCAGAGGAAUUUGACGGGGUCCGCACAAGCGGUGGAGCAUGUGGUUUAAUUCGAUGAUACGCGAGGAACCUUAC